GGAAAAAUGUCUUCAACCUUGGAUAUUCAGCAGCUGUUACCAAUCAAAGAAGAACUUGAUGAGUGGAGCCCUGAUAUGGAGCAGCAAGUCCAGCUCCUCAGCAUAAAGAAGGAAGAGGAGGAGGAAGCUGACAUCACUGAUUUCCCGCUCGCUGCUGCUGCUGCGGUGAAGAGUGAAAAUGAAGAGAAAGUGCACUCACUGUUUCAUCAUGUUAAAAACGAAUAUAAGGACGAGGAGGAGCCUCAGACCAGCAGCUCAGGGCAAGAUUUAAGAACAUGUGAUGAAAUCCAGACAGCUGAAGACACUACUAGCAACCAUCACGAUGCCCCGGCCAGCUACCGGCUCCUUUCACCGCUCCAGCCCAACACACCAACCUACACAUCUAUGCAACGUCCCCAGCAAAUAGAGUCUGUGUUCAAUGUCUUCUAUAAUGAAGAUGCAGCCUUCCAAAAACUGCUAACCUUGUUGACAGAGCUGACCAGAGAAGUCAGGGACCUCCGUGAGGAGGUCAGAGCUCUCAAUCAAUCCUGCAGCAAUGAACCUCUUGAUGCUGGGGGUUUGCCUCUGGAUUUGCCUUUGCACAAUAUGGAUGAGCUGAACAAUGCAGAGGCAACUCUGCAGUUACCAGAAUCAUAUAAAACAAUGGUGAGAUGCUUUUCUUUGAUUGGAGGGACCACACUGGAGGUGCGAGUCCGCCGUAUACUAGCCUAUGUCAUUACAAAUGAGCUGGCCUCUGGACUUAACUGGGCUGGGAGGAAAACUAAGGACCAGACCAAGCAAAAGAGGGCAUUUAAAGAGACAGCGCUCUGCAGAUGCAUUUUUGAUGGCCUGACUCAGCAGGUGGGGGUAAAUGCAGUUUCUGAGUUUGCCUUCGCCCAAGCAGUGCAGAAAUGGCUCUGCUGUGCUCCAGAUCGGAUGGGUGGUGCAGGACGCAGGAUAUCCAGCCCCAUCCCAGAGUAAACUAAAUACAAUGACUUGUAACGAAUACAUUUAACAAAAAACGUUUUGUUUUGGGGGUUUUUAAUAAAUUGGUUUUUUAU
ensembl:lncRNA